ACAGAGGAGGCAAGCGUUGUUCGGAAUCACUGGGCUUAAAGCGCGUGUAGGCGGCUUAGAAAGUGUCGUGUGAAAUCCCGCGGCUCAACCGCGGAACUGCACGGCAAACUACUUGGCUUGAGGUCGGUAGAGGUGCCUGGAACUCUAGGUGGGGGGGUGAAUUGCGUAGAUAGCGAGAGGAAAGGCAGAAGCGAGAGGAGGGCACUGGGUGGAUUCUGACGCUGAGACGCGAAAGCGUGGGGAGGGAGGAG
rnacentral:rRNA from 1 species